rnacentral:lncRNA from 1 species
UUUUUUUAUUGGUGUUCAAUUUACUAACAUACAGAAUAAUACCCAGUGCCCGUCACCCAUUCACUCCCACCCCCGCCCUCCUCCCCUUCUACCACCCCUAGUUCGUUUCCCAGAGUUAGCAGUCUUUACGUUCUGUCUCCCUUUCUGAUAUUUCCCACACAUUUCUUCUCCCUUCCCUUAUUUUCCCUUUCACUAUUAUUUAUAUUCCCCAAAUGAAUGAGAACAUAUAAUGUUUGUCCUUCUCCGACUGACUUACUUCACUCAGCAUAAUACCCUCCAGUUCCAUCCACGUUGAAGCAAAUGGUGGGUAUUUGUCAUUUCUAAUACUGAGUAAUAUUCCAUUGUAUACAUAAACCACAUCUUCUUUAUCCAUUCAUCUUUCGUUGGACACCGAGGCUCCUUCCACAGUUUGGCUAUAGUGGCCAUUGCUGCUAGAAACAUCGGGGUGCAGGUGUCCCGGCGUUUCAUUGCAUUUGUAUCUUUGGGGUAAAUCCCCAACAGUGCAAUUGCUGGGUCGUAGGGCAGGUAUAUUUUUAACUGUUUGAGGAACCUCCACACAGUUUUCCAGAGUGGCUGCACCAGUUCACAUUCCCACCAACAGUGUAAGAGGGUUCCCUUUUCUCCGCAUCCUCUCCAACAUUUGUUGUUUCCUGCCUUGUUAAUUUUCCCCAUUCUCACUGGUGUGAGGUGGUAUCUCAUUGUAGUUUUGAUUUGUAUUUCCCUGAUGGCAAGUGAUGCAGAGCAUUUUCUCAUAUGCAUGUUGGCCAUGUCUAUGUCUUCCUCUGUGAGAUUUCUGUUCAUGUCUUUUGCCCAUUUCAUGAUUGGAUUGUUUGUUUCUUUGUGUUGAGUUUAAUAAGUUCUUUAUAGAUCUUGGAACUAGCCCUUUAUCUGAUAUGUCAUUUGCAAUAUCUUCUCCCAUUCUGUAGGUUGUCUUUGAGUUUUGUUGACUGUAUCCUUUGCUGUACAAAAGCUUCUUAUCUUGAUGAAGUCCCAAUAGUUCAUUUUUGCUUUUGUUUCUUUUUCCUUUGUGGAUGUAUCUUGCAAGAAGUUACUAUGGCCGAGUUCAAAAAGGGUGUUGCCUGUGUUCUUCUCUAGGAUUUUGAUGGAAUCUUGUCUCACAUUUAGAUCUUUCAUCCAUUUUGAGUUUAUCUUUGUGUAUGGUGAAAGAGAGUGGUCUAGUUUCAUUCUUCUGCAUGUGGAUGUCCAAUUUUCCCAGCACCAUUUAUUGAAGAGACUGUCUUUCUUCCAAUGGAUAGUCUUUCCUCCUUUAUCGAAUAUUAGUUGCCCAUAAAGUUCAGGGUCCACUUCUGGAUUCUCUAUUCUGUUCCACUGAUCUAUGUGUCGUUUUUGUGCCAGUACCAAAACUGUCUUGAGGGACCACAGCUUUGUAGUACAACCUGAAAUCUGGCAUUGUGAUGCCCCCAGAUAGGGUUUUUUCUUUUUUAAAAUUCCCCUGGCUAUUGGGGGGUCUUUUCUGUUUUCCACACAAAUCUUAAAAAUUUGUUCUAACUCUCUGAAGAAAGUCCAUGGUAUUUUGAUAGGGAUUGCAUUAAACGUGUAUAUUGCCCUGGGUAACAUUGACAUUUUCACAAUAUUAAUUCUGCCAAUCCAUGAGCAUGGAAUAUUUUCCAUCUCUUUGUGUCUUCCUCAAUUUCUUUCAGAAGUGUUCUAUAGUUUUGAGGGUUUUUAGAUCCUUUACAUCUUUGGUGAGGUUUAUUCCUAGGUUUUCUUAUUUCUUUUGGGUCAAUUGUAAAUGGGAUUGACUCCUUAUUUUUCUUUCUUCGUCUCAUUGUUAGUGUAUAGAAAUGCCACUGACUUCUGGGGAUUGAUUUUUUAUCCUGCCACGCUACCGAAUUGCUGUAUGAGUUCUAGCAAUUUGGGGUGGAGACUUUUGGGUUUUCUAUGUAGAGUAUAUGUCAUCGGCGAAAAAAGGAGUUUGACUUCUUUUUUGCCAAUUUGAAUGCCUUUAAUGUCUUUUUUUUGUCUGAUUGCUGAGGUAGGACUUCCAGUACUAUGUUGAAUAGCAGUGGUGAAUGGACAUCCCUGUCUUGUUCCUGAUCUUAGGGGAAAGGCUCCAGUGCUUCCCCAUUGAGAAUGAUAUUUGCUGUGGGCUUUUCAUAGAUGGCUUUAAGGGAUGUCGAGGAAUGUUCCCUCUAUCCCUACACUCUGAAGAGUUUUAAUCAGGAAUGGAUGCUGUAUUUUGUCAAUGCUUUCUCUGCAUCCAAUGAGAGGAUCUAUGGUUCUUGGUUUUUCUCUUGCUGAUAUGAUGAAUCACAUUGAUUGUUUUACGGGUGUUGAACCAGCCUUGUGUCCCAGGGAUAAAUCCUACUUGGUCAUGGUGAAUAAUUUUCUUAAUGUACUGUUGGAUCCUAUUGGCCAGUAUCUUGUUGAGAAUUUUUGCAUCCAUGUUCAUCAGGGAUAUUGGUCUGUAAUUCUCCUUUUUGGCGGGGUCUUUGUCUGGUUUGGAAUUAAGGUAGCUGGCUUCAUGAACGAAUUGGAAGUACUCCAUCUCUUUCUAUCUUCCAAACAGCUUUAGGAGAAUAGGUAUGAUUUCUUCUUUAAACGUUUGAUAAAAUUCUCCUGGGAAGCCCAUCUGGCCCUGGACUCUUGUGUCUUGGGAGGUUUUUGAUGACUGCUUCA